UUAGCAAACCAAGGGCACGAGAGUGCUUCUUGCUUUAAAUUUAAUUUGAGGAGGGGUUUAGCAUGUUGUUAAAAAACUGAGCAGUUAUUCUUUUAUAUCUCCCUUCCUUUCCAACGAUCUCCUGUCGAAGUGCGUCGCCGUCGACAGAAGAUGGGAAUAAUGCAACUCCACCAAUGAUGCUAAGUCCAGUGAGAUAAGCACUAUGACCAGGUAUGUCUUCUUGAAUCUCAGUAGUACCAUAAUCCAUAAGCAAAAGAUGAAUAAUGGACAAACAAACAGCAACAACAUAUCUCCCUUCUAAAACCAAUUGCAAUGCAGCUGGGAUUGUGGAGAAGAAAUUUGGGAAUAUCGGGAGUAAAGGGUUGAUAAACGCAAGAAAUGUGGACAUGUACAAAAAAUGAAUAUUAAAUAAUCUAAACAAAAGCCAAGUAAGACAGCCUUGAAAAAACGCAAUCUCAGCUGUAGCUAAAAGAACCCCAGAGAUAGCUUUAUCAAGAACCUCCACAGCUCGUGUUCUAGCAGAUCUUGAAAUAGGAAUCAUGUACAUAACUUGUUCAGUAACCCCACCUGCAUCCGAUGUUAUCAAAGAGUACAAAACCCCUGUGAAAACCAUUGAUUGGGACACAAAAUUUAAAAUACCAGCUGCCCCUGAAACAAUGGAUUCAACAACUACAAAAACAAGCUUUGUACUACCACCAACAAUGGAUUUACUACUAGAAAGAACACGUUGAAGAAUAUCUUUUCCUUGAAAAGCAAUUGCUUUUGCAUUCUUGAUCAUAUCUUCCCUAUUGACACGCACACGCGCGUCUUUGAACAAUCCGUUUACUUCUGGAUAAAUCUCUGCCCAUUCCCGAUUUACAACUUUUUUUGUCAAAGUUUGUAUCUUUUCUGUGUACGGGUUUCGGAUUGCUAUUGCAGUUGAAGGUGUGGAUGAAUUCGAGGGGUUUAUAAUACGUGGUAUGAUUAUAUGUUUCAUUUCUUGAACGAUUUCAGUCACGUUAUACUGCAUUGCUAAAGUAUCGAUUUGUACAUUUACAGUUUCAUAAAAUUGAGUGCUGUAUUUAUCCACCAUUAAUGGCACAUUGUUGUCAUCCAUCCAUUUUUUUAACCCGAUUUUCUCAGCUAUAUUGUUUCUUUCCACAUGGGUUUUUAUGGAAUAAACCACAUCUUUUCCUUCAACUCCAAUUUUGUAGGAGAAAAGCAGGGUCCCAGUUAGAGACCCUACAAUCAUACCAACAAUCAAUCCGAUUGCCACAAUUGUCUCCAAUUGAUUCAAAAUCCGGCUGGUGAGGAAAGCUGCAUGCCGAUUAUGGUUCAAAGUACGACCUCCAAAGGAAGAAACAGCAGCCAUGGUGGAUUUCGCAUGUCUGGAUGUAAACAUAAACCCUAACGCUAACAAAGUGAUGGCACCAAGAACACCAAGUUGCUCGUAAGCCAUUACAAAAACCCAAAACGACACCAACCAUCUCAAUAAAAUUGAAAACCCGCUUCGUUUUCGCUUCACAACAUCUCUUGUCUUCUUCUUACGAAGGAUUAGUUUAUAUAAAAAUUCUCUAAUCUCAACGAGACUCCCGAUGAAAACUCUAUACACGGAUACAGGUAUAGCUAGUACAGUUUCUGUAAGACCUAAUUCCAAAGGUUCAGACCAAAACGAAACUAAGGAUUGCUGAAUUCCUCGAAGAGGAAUCGAACAAAGAACAGCCCAGAGAAUCGGGCGGAGAUAUUCUUCAAGUAAUUUAGAAACGCCGUAGAUAAUAACAAGAGCAAAAACUAAGCCGGCGUGUGCCAUGGCUAUGUAUAGUGCGAGACGAACCUGAGAGUCGCCGGAGAGAGAAGUGGAGUCAUCCCUAUCCGGAUUGGUGGUGGAUUCCGGCGGUAACUGAGGUUGGGGUUCGGGAGAUGGAUCUGGUUGGCGGGUGGAGGCUGAUCGGGACAUGUCUUGCCACGGCGGUGAGGUGGAGGAGUUGGAGUUGGAGUUGGUGUUAGGAUCAGAAUAAGGCACCAGCUCCAUUUUUAUAGUUUAAAAUUAAAGUUGGAAUCUGUGAUACACAGAUAUUGUGAAGAUGACCCAAGCUACAGUGAACAGGAUGAGUUGGAAAGUUUUGACUUCUAAAUGCACGAUACACGUGCUAAACGGGGAUAAAGAAGUAAUAAUUGCAUUUUAAGCCUUGAGAAAAUCUUAAAAGUUGUUUUGGUUCAUAUGUAAGUGAUGAUUUUCGUGGAAAACAUACAUCAAGUAAUUUAGUAUACCUUGUAAGAGUGGGGAAAAGUCGAUACAGUCUGGUCCAUCUUUUUUCUUUAGAAAGAUAAGAUUUGAAAACAAUUUACUUAAUGAUAAUCAAAUCAAAACAAAAUUAUUAUUAUAUUGAUUUUGAUA